GUGAUUUGACUCAGGCAUGUUUAAAGGGUAGCUCUUGUACCAUGGAGAUGAAGAUUUGAUCCUGCACUGCUCCUAAGGUCCCACGAAGCUGAACCCAAGAGAGAGAAACAUGGGCUAUAUCUUGCCACCUGAUUCCCAUUUGAGUUUGGUCGAGGGGAAAGACCAAGAGGAACUUGGAGAUCAAAAGGAAAAAAAGAACCAAGAAUGCACACCUACCAAAGGGCUACUUUGCACUCCACUAGGUAAGUCACUUUCCGAUCAAUCCUCCCAAAAACCAUCUAAAAUAGUUGUGUUCUUACUUGAUCAAUGAAGAACUUGACCUUAUGCACUAAAGAGUCUAAGAAGAGAGAGGUUACCUCAUAGAGGUGAGCCAGACCAUGUAGGCAGUGGGCUUUCAGGACAGGUGGCCUGGAUGAUCUGUAACGACCUUUCUGUUUAUACCAUCACACAGUAAUAAGAGAUGAAUCUGAAGGAAACAUGUUGUACAUGUGGAUGGCAUAGUGGCUUCCCAAGAGGGACACUAAGCUACCUUUAUCACUAUUACUGACCAGCACUGUCAUUUUAUAAGUAGAUUUGUCAGAGGGCCUUAAUGGUAAGAAAUUUGGGCACAGGGUUGAUUUCCUAUGUUUUGUGAGAAUAGAUGACUAAACAUUCCCACUCUAAGGAAAAUGUUAUUAUCUUUACUACACUAAUAUUUUGUUAAAGAAAGAGGAUUACAGUUUUAUUUACAGUUACUGAUCUUUGGAUUAAUAGAAAACACUGCCCUUUAAAUACAGUAACAAUGUUAGUUACUAAGAAAACUGAGGCCUGAGGGGUAGAGAAAUUCUGAUGAAUUUCAUUCUUAUACCCAACAAAUUGGGUAUAAGAAUGAAAAGCAAACCAUUUUUAAAGUGAAUGCAUAUGAGCAAACCUGGAAUAAUAUUAUUUUCCAAUUGUCAAUAACCGCCACCUAUUGAUUAACAGAUUUUUAUAGUAUGUGAUAUAAAUGUAUCUUGUCUACUAAAAUUGGAAAGCAAAAUAGAAGCUCCAAGAUUUCAGAAUUUCUUAAAAAGAAAAUUGGGGGAAGGGGAGAAUACAUACACACACACACACACACACACAAAAAAAAAAACACACUCACUCACAAAAUAAAACAUACUGUGCCAAGCCCA
rnacentral:lncRNA from 13 species